GACGAACGCUGGCGGCGUGCUUAACACAUGCAAGUCGAACGGUAAGGCCCUUCGGGGUACACGAGUGGCGAACGGGUGAGUAACACGUGGGUGAUCUGCCCUGCACUUCGGGAUAAGCCUGGGAAACUGGGUCUAAUACCGGAUAGGACUCCGGACUGCAUGGUCUGGGGUGGAAAGCUUUUGCGGUGUGGGAUGGGCCCGCGGCCUAUCAGCUUGUUGGUGGGGGGAUGGCCUACCAAGGCGACGACGGGUAGCCGGCCUGAGAGGGUGACCGGCCACACUGGGACUGAGAUACGUCCCAGACUCCUACGGGAGGCAGCAGUGGGGAAUAUUGCACAAUGGGCGCAAGCCUGAUGCAGCGACGCCGCGUGAGGGAGGACGGCCUUCGGGUUGUAAACCUCUUUCAGCAUCGACGAAGCGAAAGUGACGGUAGGUGCAGAAGAAGGACCGGCCAACUACGUGCCAGCCGCCGCCGUAA
rnacentral:rRNA from 1 species